rnacentral:lncRNA from 1 species
UUUUUUUUUUUCAUUUUUUGGACUUUUUUGGUUUCCUAUUCAUUUUCUCUCUUUCUUUUGAAGUACGUGUUUCGCUUUUGAGGAUAAAGUGAUCAUCUUUGUUGAUGGUUUCUCCAACGGUUUCAGUUGCACUCACUGAAUCGGCAGGUCAAUGCAUGUUUGCUACUUGAGAAUCAAUGCCAAAGACACCAUCCACAUGGCUAAACCCAUCGUAUCUCAUCCUUUUCUUUUAUUGUGAAAAGUGCAAAGAAAGC